GGCAGGAUAGUGUAGUGGCUAGGAUGUUCGACUCCCAUCCGGAAAGGUACUGGGUUCGAUUCCCAAUCUCUGAAGCCUA